AACCUUAAAUAAGUCAACUUAAUAAGCUCUAAAGCAAGUCAGAAAACACUACUGUUAAAUUUAAUUCAAAUAUAGGUGGAAAGCAUUUACCAACCUGAGAUGAAACAUUUGAAUUGUUCUUGACAACAUCACGGCGAACAUUUAAGGAUUGAAAAUAGUAUGAUCUCGCAGCUUGGAGGUCUCCCCCAUGAUAUUUAAGAUCACCAAUUUUAUUAAGUGAAACGGAAAGUGUAUGUGUAAUCUGUAAGAUAACAAGGUCAAAGAAAUAAAUUGACAAUAAACAAAACCAGAUUGAUCUGGUAAUCUAUCAUUUCUCAUGAGAGCUGAGAAAAGCAAGGUUCUAAUGAAAUAACCUCCAAAUCAUCUUUUGGCAACUUUGACAGAAAUUCAACACUUUCUUCAAAAUAAGUUACUGCAGAACUGCUAUCACCCAUUGCUCGGCUGCAGAAAUUAUUUUGUAAACAUGAAGAUCACAAUCCACCUCCUCCAUUAAACAUGUAAUUAAACUAUAUUCUCUUAAACUUUGUGAUACAAAAAGAAAUGUGACACAUGAAUGAAAAAAAGGAAAAAGCAGAGAAUAAGAAGAAAACAAAAGGCUUAAAAACAAAAAGAGAUCAAUAUCUCUCAAAAUGUUCACGAUCAAAACCGCUCUAAAAUAACGAUAAACUGCACCACAAAGAGACCAAAAGGCGCACUACAUAAUAGAUUUAAGAGCACAACACGAGGCACUGAAACUUCAUAUUGAAGGUGUGUCUAUGUUUGUUCAGCACCAACACGAUACUAAUACGUGUGAUUACAUAUAAUCAUUCCAUUUUCUCAAAUUAUUACCAAUGUCUGUCAGUGCUCUGCUUCAGAGGAUGUAACUAUAUGCUAAUGGGUUUAGGACAUGUUUUAAAGUGGGAGCAACAGGGAAAACUAGGAGCUUCUUCAACUGAAGUGGUUAUUUCUGUACACCAAAAAUGGCUAAAGCAGUAUAGGAAAUUGAACAUUUACACUAUAUUAUAGAUGUAGAGGAAACAGUGAAACAAUUUCUGGUACAGACAUGGAUAACCAAAACUCAAAUGUCCUCAUACCAAAGAUGAUUCGGAUUCCAUAUAGAAUAUACAACGGAAACAAUUUCUGGUACAGAUAUAGAUAACCAAAACUCAAAAUGUCCUCAAUACAAAGAUGAUUCGGAUUCAGAACACUAGUUACAAUUCCACCGAUUCUAAGCAUCCUUAUUGAUUUAUCAUUUUUGGUCUCAGUCUAGUUAUAUUCAGUGUUACUAUCAGUGUUGUCAACGCAUNCUCUAAAGCAAGUCAGAAAACACUACUGUUAAAUUUAAUUCAAAUAUAGGUGGAAAGCAUUUACCAACCUGAGAUGAAACAUUUGAAUUGUUCUUGACAACAUCACGGCGAACAUUUAAGGAUUGAAAAUAGUAUGAUCUCGCAGCUUGGAGGUCUCCCCCAUGAUAUUUAAGAUCACCAAUUUUAUUAAGUGAAACGGAAAGUGUAUGUGUAAUCUGUAAGAUAACAAGGUCAAAGAAAUAAAUUGACAAUAAACAAAACCAGAUUGAUCUGGUAAUCUAUCAUUUCUCAUGAGAGCUGAGAAAAGCAAGGUUCUAAUGAAAUAACCUCCAAAUC
rnacentral:lncRNA from 1 species